UUUUGCCCUACUACAGGGUGCACACGACAAACCGUACCAUUUUGUAAUCCAUUUAUGGAUACAGAAUGGGGUGGAAAAAUUUGCGCCCUGAAAUUAUGAAUGUCCCUAAUUUUAAAAUCUUUUUUUGGAAUUUUGGGCAUUUUUUUUACUUCUAACAAAAAUUGCGAUAUGGCAACCCUUAUUCCAUUCACAAACAAAAGUGCGACUCUGUACCGCCGUUAAAACUGGUCGUGCGGCGACGUACUCUGAUUUUACUACACAGCUGUUUGAAUGAAAUGGAAGGGGAGGAGAGGGAAUGCAAAAAUACGCAUUUAUUAAUAUUUUCAAUGGCGGUGAUCUACAAUGGAAAAGACGGAGGAUGCUGCAGAUUCUGGUGGAAUAUUGGAAUGUGGCUACAGUUAGCUAUUGGGUAGGUGCUGAUGUAAUUUCUGGAGUUGGACAUGUGCAAGAUUAAACUUCUAGAGGAUAUUGAACUUCAAACUGGCCUUGGAUUUUGUUUAGGAUUCAAUACUAAUUCAACACCUGAGGAAAGUGAAGUGGAAGACCGAGAUCCUAUUGAAAGGUUGUUAAGACUUCAAGUGUCCCUGAGAAGGACGAACCGAAGGAACGAAAACACCAUAUAGAAGCCAAAUUCAGUGGAAUUCAUGGGAAUUGGUGGCAACAACUAUAACAACAACAAUAGAGAAGAUAAAUGAGAACGGAUAAUGAAGCAGAUAAUCCGGGUGAGUGAAUAUUAAUAAAAGUAGUUGAUAUUAGAAAGUAUAUUAGGAAGACUGGACAGCUAGUUUAGGUAGUCUAAAUCGGACUCCAUAGGAAACAUAUCCUUUUAUAAUUAGAGCAGAAAUCGGUAGUAAUAACAAAAUAAAGUUUAGAAAAACUAUGAAACAAGGCCCUAAACUACUUGUUAUUACUACUGACUUCAAAUGAAUUGUGUUUAGUAUCGUUACUGAUUAUAUCCUGGACAAAACUGAAGAUUCUGUAAUACCAAUCAUUUAUAUCUCAGCCAGUGACAAUCUGCUUACGGAAUGACCAACUACAUGUUGCUCUUCCAAUAUGUAUUGUCCCAUUUGUUUCCUUUGGUAUCGGCUCGCUGUAAGAUCGGACUCAGAAUUGUGUUAUUGCCCUAGGUGACUAAUAACCCUUAUGCUUUUAAUGGCACAGUACCGGAAGGCUUUGAUGGGGUUGCACCUACUAAUAGGGUAAUGACCGGUUACACAUGUAACCAGCUUAGAAACGUUGGCUUAAGUCGAUCCAAACAAACAAUUAUUCAUUCCAAAGUAGCCAUGGAUCUCACUGGACUACGAUAUAAAUGAAAGAUAUGUACAGAACUCAGUACUGCUCAGGAUAUAUCAACACCUAUGCGAAACAGAAAUUCACUGCAAAUAAGUAAAAGACAGAUUAAUAUGAAGACUCGACAACACGUAUUAGAAAAUAGGUACCCAUUUAGGCACAUAUUAGGUGACUAGUAGACGCUGUCACCGGUAGAUAUUCAGGAAGAAAUGUUAGGACUAGAACCACCAAAGAUAUUGAAGCUAUUGCUUCAAAUCUUUGGCGUGAAAAACCCCCAACGAUUUCCCCUGAAAAUCUUCGACCUCAUAUAAACUGUUACCGACUGGUCGGACGAUUCGGCAUUUAAGAAAUUUUCGGGCGAAUUUGGCGUUGAAAUUGUUUUUAAAAUUGCUCUGCCGGAAGUUACGUCGGUAGACUUCUUGACCGGGUAUGAAUUUGACUGGACGACACCGCGU